CUCCCUGCUCACGUCCUCCCUCUCAUAUACACUAACAGUACUGUUAACCUCCCAGUGGGGUCUGGUAGAUAGACUCCUCUGUCAUUGGAUGAGAAAAGGAAAGGCUGUGUUUAGGAACACAAUUCAUUAUGGUGUUUAUGGCAUAACAGGCCACAGAUCCACCUCUUAAGAGCUCUCUACCUCCAGGAUAAUCACCUGAACAGGGUCGGUCUCAGUGACUGACCAGGUGAAUCCAGGUGAAAGCCAUGACCCCUUUAUUGAUGUCCACAUCAAAUCAGCGUAGAUGAAGCCUGCGAAGGAUUGUGAUUCAUGGAUUGUGUGUGUACCAUUCAGAGGGUGAACGGGCAAGACAAAAAUAACCUGGACAGGCUCUGCUGCUGCUCCCAGGCCACGCCCCCAUAGCCUGGACACAUGACCAACCACUCUACACCCAAGCAGGCCAGCCAGGCAGCCAGCAGCAGGCAUGCCACACCCCUCAUUCAGGGAGAGUUGAAUGGGGAGCAUUGUGAAUGUGCUGAACACAGGCACAGUGUGUGUGUGUGUGUGUGUGCAGGGGGGGGGGGCAGUUGGACAUGGGAGGAAAGGAGUGUGUUUUAAGAGUGCAUAUGUUUGAGAAAUGGAGAGAAAAGGGUGUAUGUGUUUGACAGGAAAAGUGAGUGUGUGUAAGAGGUGUAAACGGAAAGAUUAAAGAACAUUUGUGACAGUUUGCACGUGCUUAAAAAAGGAAAAAAAUGUUUGUAACAAAUGUGUAUUCAGUGAAAGAGAGUAUGUGUGUUGAUGUCCAUCUGUCCCUUCCCUCCCAAUGCUCAACGCAGUGUGUCUCUCCCUGUAUGUGUGUGUCUGAGUGUGUAUAUAUGUGUGUAUGCACACUGUAUGUGUACUGUGAGGAGGACACUGGGUCAUCUCUCCCCCUGGCUCUUUCUCCGCCUGGGUUAAAAUGAGUCUCCAUCCAUCACAUUAAUGCCUGCCUUAUACACCCCCAUGACUAAAGGAAUAUGUCCCGGUUAACGAAUGAAUACCAUCCCAUGGAGUCAUCAGACUCCGCAUGAAACGUUCUAUUGGAAACAGCUCCGUCGACUGUAAUUCAAAACAUUAAAGAGUACAAU